CAGAAUCGUCAUCAAAAUGAGUUAACUCUUUCCUGGACAAGAAAUUUUGGUGAUGUAAGGGCGCUAUCUACUGACCAAAAUCUAGAUGGUGGUCUGUGGGUUGGACACACCUUCAGUCUCCUAUUGGCCUUAUCAGAUAAUGACGUGCAGAGAGUCUGGCCCUUUAAAAAGUAAGGACAAAGGGAAGAGAAGGAGAUUCACAGAAAUCCAGGACAGAGAUUGAGGAUACACACUCUGGGACUUACACUCUCUCAAACGCUCUUUGACUCAACUUUCCAAACCAACACCACUUUCUCUAUUACAUACACACCUCCAUACAAUCAUCAAUCAUACUUGCAUUCAAAUUCCUGGGACUAUCUAAUCAUCGGAUAAGAGCAUCUGAUAAGAACUUCUACAACAUAACUGGUAAUUAUGCUGGUUUUAUUUAAUUAAUUUAAAUUAAUUACAAUUUUACAUAGCAGGAAUAUAUGCCUGGAUAUAUUGUCAGAUUUCAACUUAGAAAUCUUAGUUAACUAAAGAAUAUAUGGUUAUAAAAAUUCCAUUACUGCAGGUGGAAUUAAC